GUCCACGCCGUAAACGAUGGAUACUAGCUGUUGGGAGUAAUCUCAGUGGCUAAGCGAAAGUGAUAAGUAUCCCACCUGGGGAGUACGUUCGCAAGAAUGAAACUCAAAGGAAUUGACGGGGCCCGCACAAGCGGUGGAGCAUGUGGUUUAAUUCGAUGAUACGCGAGGAACCUUACCAAGGCUUAAAUGUAGAUUGACAGGACUGGAAACAGUUUUUCUUCGGACAAUUUACAAGGUGCUGCAUGGUUGUCGU
rnacentral:rRNA from 1 species